CACUUUUCAAGUUCUUUGGCGAAUGCUUGCAAAGCUGUGGUGAUGACCAGAUCUGCUUCUACGUGAUCAAGUCUAUGACAGCACUAGUAAGCUUCAUUGGCACAGAUGAUGCUAAUUGUUUCCAAGUACUAAUCCCUUGUGUCAUGGAAGUUAUCCGAAGACUGGCAAGUACAGAUGAGG